UGAAAAUGCAUUUCCAAGGCAUCUAAACUACCCUUACCUGCCUCUGUGAAAAAAUCAGUCACUAUGCAGAAGGAAGGAGCUUGACAUUUCUUUUAUGGUAGGAAUGGUUGAAGGGGUAGGAACUUGCCUCUUGGAUAUCCUACCAGCUAGAUGUGCAGGGAAAGGCAAGCUUUUAUUUUGCUCUCCUGGGCAGAUCAGUUACCACAUUAAACCCAAACAAAACAACCUGGAGAAAAAGAUUCAUGAGGUGUCAGACGUUUAAUUUCCAAAGUGUACAAGAGGGGAAUGUUUUCAAAUCCUGUUUCACAGCCAUAAUUCACAUGCUUUGUACUUGUAUAUUUCUGUAGGUUAUUGGUCACAUGAAGCAAAUAUGGAAUUUCACAAGUUCUACACAUGGUGGGAGGCAGGAGCAGGCUCCCAAGGUGUCAGCUUUUAAUGAUGUUGUAUAUUUAAGGAGCAAUUGAUGCCAGUCUAGAACCCUUUUGGCAUGUGCAUAUGGAAGAUGUUACUGGUGUGUGACAAUCCAGUUUUUAUGCUACUGUGUUUUGCGUGCCUACUACGUGCUAAGGUCUAUAUACAUAAUCACAUUUAAUCUUCACAGCCACCCCACAGGAAGUCUUAUUACCCCUAUCUUGCAAACAAGGGAAAAAUGAGGCACAGAGAAAGAAGUGCAAGAGGCAGAGGUGGAAUUUGUUUAUCCAAUUAUUAGGCCUUAAGAUGCAAUCAGCAUUGUUGACCAGCGCCUGGUCCCACUCUUCUCAGACACUGCAUUCUCUUCCUAUUUUUCUGGUUGAACCUUCUUUUGUUCUUUCUUUAGCUUUCCUUUAAAUGCUGAUCAUUACGGAUUGAGUUGCAUCUUAACAAAAUGUCUCUGUUGGAGUCCCAACAUGUGGUACCUCAGAAUGUGACCUUAUCUGGAGAUAGGGUCUUUAUAGGGGUCAUCAAGUUAAAGUAAGAUCAUUAGUCAGGGCUGUAAUCCAAUACGGCUGAUGUCCUCAUGAAAAGGGGAAAAUCCGGACACAGACAUGCGCACAGGGAGAAUAGAAGAUGAAGAUUAAGGUAGAGACUGGGACGAUGCUUCCACAAAUCAAGGAAUGCCAAAGGUUGCCAGCAAACCACCAAAGCUAAGGAAAGGCAUUGGACAGAGUCUCCUCUCACAGCCUCAGAAGGAACCAACCCUGCUAACACCUUGACCUUGGACUUUUAGCCUCUAGAACUGUGGGACUACAAAUGCCGUUGUUUAAGCCACUCAGCUUGUGGUACGCCUUGUUACAACAGUCCUAGCAAACUAAUACACAGCUAUGCUUCAGUAAAAGGCACCUCAUGGAGAAAGACCUCUGCCUACCUCCCCAGGCUUGCCUGACUUCAUCCUCAUAUACUAGCCACCUGCACCCCACCAAAUAAUUAACUUCUGCUAGUUUCCUGGACACCCCAAGCCAUUGUGUGCCUUGUUCCCUUGCUAUGAUAUUUCCCCUUUCUGGAACACCUCCAUCAAUGUUCCAGCUCAAUUAUCACCUCCUACAGGAAGCCUUCCCUCAUUUCCUCCUAUGCCUAUCACUCAAGAAGUAUUAACCACACUUUUCUCUGUGCUGUAGCUUUUUUUUUUGUACCUGGUUCUAUGGUUACCUUUACACUGCAUUGUAACCUGGUAUUCAUGGGCUUAUCUGUGUCCCCUGUGGAGCUGUCAGUCUCUGAAAGGCCAGUGCCUACUUUAUUUCCUCUCUAGAUUCCAGCACUGAGAUGAUGCCAGGUGUCAGCCCUCCUUGGAAGCCUUAGGAAGGUCUCUCCAAUUGCCCUACCCCAACCACAAUAUAGAGGACUAUAAAAUGAGCACAUAGUGGGAGGAGACAGAGUGGUUCCCUGAUUACAUGUAUGAACGCAGCUAGAGAGAGAAUAUGUCCUUCCAAUGUGGGUGAGGUAGAAAAGCAGCAUCUGUGACAGCAUGAAGAGGAGGAAAUAGGAGUUGCUGGACCUAUUGAGGAAUUGUCUGAUAGGGAACCUAAGUUAUCAGGCAUCCAAUCUUUUUAGUCACAUUGGAAAGUAAUCUCAAGAGACAGAUGAUUCAGGGUCCCCUGGCUCUUGGUCCUUAAUCUCUGGUUUUAUAUAACUCCCCUUAUCCUGCUUCCAUGUUUCUCAGACAACCUCUCAUUCCCAUCUGGAUCUCCCACUGAACAAGAAUACGAUAAGUGCAUGGAUUCUACGUGUUUCCAGUCCUUGAGCAGUGAUUGCUCAUGGCCAGUGCACAAAGUGGCUUUGGAUUGUUUGGCUCCCGAGCAGUCUGACAACAACCAGAGAAGGCUUGGAGCAUGUCAGUAUGAGAAUUUCUGGUCUGAAUGACAGAUACAUUUGUCAAAUUCAAUCAAUAAGCUGUCAUUCUGGUAGCCAUCCCAGUCUCCUUUGGGUUUUGCUUAGUGUAAACUAGUGAGUUAAAUCGAUCUUGGUUUGUAUUUAUUAGGUAAAUAGUAAUACUAGCACCUGAGCUGGGCGCCGUGGCUCACGCCUGUAAUCCCAACACUUUGGGAGGCCAGGGUGGGCAGACCACUUGAGGUCAGGAGUUCGAAAGCAGCCUGGCCAACAUGGUGAAACCCUGUGUCUACUAAAAAUACAAAAAUGAGCUGGGCGUGGUGGCAGGCACCUGUAAUCCCAGCUACUUGGAAGGCUGAGGCAGGAGAAUCGCUUGAACCCAGGAGGCGGAGGUUGCAGUGAGCCGAGAUCACACCACUGCAGUCCAGCCUGAACAACAGAGAACGACCUUGUCUCAAAAAACAAAACAAAACAAAACAACACUAGCAUCUAAAACAAACAGCCUACAUCCUAGUAUCCUAGUGGUUUAAUAAUAAAGGCUUAUUUCUCACUCAUGUCCUUACAUUCCAGUCCUUACAGGGUGGGUGAGGACUUUGUAGUAAUUCAGUCCUACCUCCUCAUUGUGUCUUCUUUACUAAGCUGGAAAUCAUGUGGAAAUAAAAGCAAUUUUGCUUUCAUGUAGAAGAUAAAAGGGAAUGGAUAUGGCAAGUGGCCCAUAUCGCAAACACCCUUGUGCUCCUGGACAGAAUUUCAUCACAUGGCCACUCCAAGCUGAGGAAAACUGGAAAAUGUGGUUGAGCCAGAUGCUUGGGAAAAAGAGAACUUGGCAAUUGGCCACCCCAAGUGGUCUCUGCCACAUAAGGUCACAAUAAACUGACACUCUAGAUCCUUCUUUGGACAAUACCGUGGCCACUUCCAGACUCUUCCUUCCUGACACUGAUUGCUAUACCUGAACCAAGAAGAGGGUGGUGCAUGUUCAUUGAAUAAAUGAAUAGAACUUUUACUCUUCUCAACUCUCUUUGGCAAGCUUUAGUCGUUCCCUCUAAGUGGAUGUCCUCUCAAAUAACUUCAUCUCUCUUCUCUCCUUCUGAGCUCCAACCUUACAUUCCCAAUUCUUUCCUGGGUACCUUCACAUGAGGUUCAACCAUUUCAAAUUCAAUAUGACAAACCUAAGCUCAGCAAGCUCUUCCUGUGCUGAGCUUUGUUUUUCUUACACAACGCUUAAGGCAAGAUCCUUAUCUAUCUCCAGUUUCUAUCCCUCCAAGCAUCUAGUACAACUUUGCAUGCUAUUAAUAGUCAUCUUUUGAAUAAAUGUUUCUGUUGUGGAAUUAUGUAAACUACGCUAACCUUAGAUUAGCAGAAAAAAAUGUAAUUUUUCUGUUUUUCUAUAGCUUACCUGAUAUUCCUCACACCACCUACCCCUCUGUGUCUGAUAAUCCAGUCUGUUGUAAACUCUGUUGCAUAAAAUAAUUGAAAGACUUUUUAUGUAACUCAGUCUAUCUUUUUUUUUUUUUUUUUUGGACAUUCCAUCCUCAAAUGUCCCUUUCCUCUGCUCUCUUCAAGAGGCAUCUGUGGCUAUGGCUGUACCUACCGAAUCCAGGCUCAGGUAAUCUGGCCUGUAGCCCUCAGCCACAGGGUCUGCCUGUUUAAUCUCACCACAGUAACAUCCCUAGUAAACUUCCCCUAGCGCUGUUAUCUAACCUCUGCAUGUCCUCCACAGGGGCCCAGAAUGUCAGGAUACCCAAGAGAGUGGAGGAAGAAUUGGGAGAACUAAAUAUAGGCCUCCUUUGGCCUAAGCAUGCAACUGCUGCAAAGGUUACUCUGAUGGAGCCCAUCAAUGUUGAUGUGAGGGAAAGAGGGGCAUCUGUGAGACUCUUCCCACAGUCCCCAACUGGAAAUAAGGAACCUACUCCGCUCUCUGCUUUGCUUGUAACCAGCCACCUCUACCACCCUUCCAGGAAUUCUCCUAUUGAAAGGAGGGUCCAUCUGUAACACCCAUCCAUGCCAGCUUCCUCCUAGUUCUCCUGAAGUCCACCAUGGGCCUGCUUCUUCUUCCACUGUGGCCAACACUUUCCUAGCCCCAUAGCUACUGCUUUUCCCGGGUGGCAGUGACUUGCCAGCUUUCCCUGGAGUGUCCAGUGGAAUAACUUCUGAGUGUUAUGAAAUACAAGAGAGAAAAUGAAAACCAUAUUUAUUUUUUCAGACGGAGUCUCACUCUGUCACCCAGCCUGGAGUGCAGUGGUGCGGUCUUGGCUCAUUGCAACCUCCAUCUCCCGGGUUCAAGAGAUUUUCCUGCCUCAGCCUCUUGACUAGCUGGGACUACAGGUGUGCACCACAACACCCAGCUAAUUUUUGUAUUUUUGGUUGAGAUGGGGUUUUGCCAUGUUGGCCAGGCUUGUCUUGAACUCCUGACCUCAGGUGAUCCACCCACCUUGGCCUCCCAAAGUGCUGGGAUAACAGGCAUGAGCCACCGUGCCUGGCUGAAAACCAUAUUUAAAAAUAUUUUAAAAUGUAAUAAACAUUUAUUAAGUAUCAGGCACUAUUCUAAGAGCUUUCCAGAUAUGAACUCACGUAACCCUAUGACAGUCUGCGGGGGGUUCUGUAAUCAGACCCAUUUUACUGACAAGGAAGCUGAGGCAUAGCACAUUUAAAUGAUUUGCCCAAGGGCACAGAAUUUGGGUUCAAACUCAGGCAAAAUGGUUCUAGAAUCUCUAUUCUUAACUGCUAUGCUAAGCUGCCUCUAUAUUUGCUUUAUAUAUUUUUAAAAUAUUACUCCUACUUCAGCUUAUAACUAAAAGGACAUUAUAAUUGCCUGUCAUAUUUUCCCACAGGCAGUAAACCAAGAUGCCAAGUGAAGACUUCUCUAUAGCAUAGGGCAAAAAUCCAUGAGGCUAAAUCCUGGUGUUCAUAGUCUAUGUUAAUUUGAAAACCAAAAACCCAUAAAACGGCAUGUGGGGAGCUUCAAAAGAACUGCUGUCUUGGGAAUUCUUACCAGCUUUGAAGACUUCGGGGAGGUGUGGUCUGUUUUUCCUUCUCUGGAUUCUCCUCCCGGCCUCUAAUCCAGAGCCUGUACAUGUGGGUGAAUUUGCACAUGCACGCCUGCACACACACACCCACCAAUGGUAAAAGCCUCUCUGGGAUACUUUCAGGAUCCUUGGAGUCAGGGCUCUAUACAGGGCUAUUUUAAAGUGUGAUGGUUCACUGAAAAAUGUUGUCAAACAGCAAAGUACCAAUCUUUUUGAAUCACUAGGUCAUAUUUUAGAGACUGUGAGUUCUACCCUUGCAGGAACGUGACUUUUUCACACUGUAUUUUCUCAAAUAGGAGAGAAGAGAAUUCCAACCAGUGAGAUGAGAAUUGCACAAAUCCUGCAGCCCAUCUCUGCCACAGCUCAAAAUUGUUGGGUAAGUAAUGACCCAGACCAUUGAAGAAAAUGAGGAAACUGUGCACACAGACUGAUGUCUUAUGUGACCAACAUGCAUAUAAGAAAUGGAAGCUUCCCCCUAUCUUUCCAGAGUUCAAAAAUCCUAUUGCUGAAUUCACCUCCAAUUCCAUGAAACAAUAUAAAAGAUCCUCCAUAAAGACCCCAGGUUAUAAUGUUUACAAUUUAUUUUGUACUCCUUUUCUCUGGUAAUUGAUGACUGCUAUUAUUAAUGAAGACAUUACAAGGAAUAAAAGGGCUUGCCUGCCACUUCUCACCACAAAACCGUGUGGCAUCAAACAGAAUGAAAUCCUUCUGACACUGACAGCUGGAGAAAACCUUGUCACCACAGUGACAGUGUCAAGUGUGGUGUGACAUCUCUGUGUGUGUUUCUUUUGCACCUAAUAACUUCGUUGCCAAUACAGACCAAAAUAAUGAAAGAAAACCUGCUUUUGCCAGCCCAAAGGAUUAACUGUACUGUUGAGAAAACUGCAGGAAUAUUUGACAUGAGAUCACAAUUUUUAAUUCUUUUCCCCCCAGGAUUCUGCAUGAAGUAUUUUUCUAUGAAGGAUUUAAAUAGAAUUACUUUUCCUCACAUUGGUCAUGGAGAGAAUUAAGACAUUAACUGUUGAUCCAAUUUAUACUGCCAUUUGAUCCCAUAAGUGCUAUACAGGACUCGGUUACUCAUGGAAAAUAGUUCCUGCCAGAUCAAACACUCUCAGGGCCAAAGUCACAAGAUUCUGACUUUACAUGCUCUGUUCUGCCUCCUUUCAUUUUGCCUCUUGGAUUGUCAUGAACUUCCUGAGCAAGAAGGCCAUCCACCAUGCAGUGUAAUGUCUUGCUAAGAGAAAUUAGUAUUCAGUCUGCUCAGGUUCCAGCAAGGACUUUCUUCAUGAAGAUCUUCAAGUGGAAUCAAGGUAGGAACUGUUAUCCUUUUCAGUCCUUGUGCUAUUCAUUCACACCUUGGAACAAAAACAAAGCUGAACUCUUUAGAGGGGAAAAUUGAUACCGCAUGGUUUCUGGUGUAUCUGCAACUUUUGGCUCUGGUUUGGAAAAGGGUGUGUAUGUGUCAUGCACACAUGUCUAUUUCAUCCUAUCUGACAAAUACCUUUGUGAAUUGCUUUGUUGACUAUUUGGGUGUUACUGCAGGUUACAAAUUUCUAAGAGGGCUGGGAGACGUCUUUAAAUCCCAUAGGCAUUGGAUCAUGUGUCCUCUAGUGGCCAUGAACACUAGUUUUAGAUGAAAGGUCUCAUUUUCAGAUAAGUAUGAGGAAUACUUUAUUUUCAGCCCUCUCUUUUAAGAGGCAUAAAAUCUUUUAGUGCUGAAAACACUUGUACUACCUAUAAUAAAGAAUUAUGUUUAAGUCAGUGUGUUCCUAAUUUGACUAUGGAAUUCAAACUUCUUGUAAGAGUCCACAGACCAGGUAAGACUUAAAGAUUUGCCAACAUUCAAAACCUCUGAAAAAUAACCCAUUACUUGGCAGCUAGGUGAUCUCCCUCCUAAUUUAUCUGGCUCUAUUUUCUUUUCUCUACCAUCACCAAUAGCAUCUUUCUAAUCCCUCACUCGGAUCUUCUCAUUCCUCCAUUCAUUAGAAUACCAGUUCAUUUCUUCAAUAAACAUGCCAAAUAGGAGUGGCUCUAACAAGACGGGAAGUUUUUUCUGAUGUGACAGUCUGUAUAUUUGCAGUCCAGGACUUGAAUGGUGACAGCAAGAGGACAGAGGCUCCAGGUUCCUUUUGUUUUAGUGCUCUGCCAUGUGUAGGGUGUUUCCCAUCCAAAUGUUCCAAGAUGUCUUACCACUGUGUCUGUAUUCCAGGCAAUGGGAAGGAGGGAAGGUGAAGGGGAGAGAAUUUUCCUUCCUUGCAAGAGCAUCAUCUGCAAGUUGUGUUUCUGCUCACACCCCAUUGACAGAGCUUUAUUGCUUGAUCACAGCUAGCUGCAAACGAGGCUAGGAGAUGUUUUAGUCAGUCUGGUAGCCUUUGUCACACUACAAUUUCUAUGUUAGAGGAGAGAGAGAGAGAACAUAUAUUAGGGAAUAGCUAACCAUCUCUGCUACACCUAUGACCUUCCAUUUGUCUCUUACAAUGAGUUUGUGAAGUUAGAAUUUUUAUCCCAAGUUUUCCACUGAGAAAAAUAAAGCUCAUAAACCUGAAAUAAUUUUAAUAUUGUCACCAUGUUAAGAAUGAUUAAGGGUGUGAAGUUUUGUCUGCUUCCAAGCUAACAAGGGAGCCGCCACAAUUGCAUGGAUUCUUGCAGAAGACACAGAUUCCUGAGUCAGACACAGAGGACUUUAUCACUCAUGGCACAGCAAGCAGCAUCAGCUCCAAUAUUCAUGUAGGUUCUUCUUGUCCUCCAAAUCCUAUGGGGCAUUAGGGGGUGGCCAAGGUAGAUGCUGCAAACGCAGUCGGUUUGCACCAAAGGUGAAAAACCCCGAGCUUAGGAAACUACAAGCUUUUAAAGAGGCUAUAAGGAAACCUGCCCAACUUUUUCCUUAGAAGGAAACCUUUUUUUUAGUAUCCUAGUUAAGAAACAAAUCUCUCUGCUUGAGAGAGGCACGCUACCUCUAACCUCCAAGAAGUUCACCAUACAAAUAUUCUUGGAAGGCAGUCCCAAAUAAAAGUCUCUUUGUUGACAAGGCUUGCAGAAACAUGAGACACCCCUGGACAUUUUUUUUCCCAACACACAGAUAGUCUUGCUAUCUUCAUUACAAUAAAGGUACUUCUUCAAGAAAUCUCCCACUGACCAUGCCUCCAUCAUCAGGGCAGUUCUCACUUUUUAUUGUAAUUGUUCACACCUCUGGAUCUCCAUAUUGGAAUAUCAGUUCCUUGAAGGCAGGGGCUAUGGCUUUGCUUUUAUAUCCCUAGCACCUAACACAUUACUUGGAAUAUGGAACAUGUUCAACAACUAUUUUGAAUGAAGUAUAUUAGAAUAAGAUUUACUUAAGGGAUAGAACAAAUCAGCAAGCAUUACAUGUUAUUGAAUCCACUUGAGGUUCUCUUUGUAUGGAUCCUAGGGUAGGUGGCUAAUUUUUAUGAUUCAGGCCUCAAAUACCACUCCCCUGACCACUGUAUUUAAAACAUCAUUCUAGAUAAGUCUAAUGAUAAGCACUUGUCACUACCUAAUAUUAUUCUGCUUGUUUAUUUAGGUAUCUGACUCCCCUUCUAGAAUAGAAACCCAUGACUUCAAGGACUUGCCUAUCUAGUUCAUGACUAUAUUUCUAUACUCUAAAAUAGUGUCGGGCCUAAAAUAGAAGUUUCAUAGGUAUUUUUGAAUGAAUAAGUGAAUGAGUAAAUUCAGCAAACAUUCACUAAGUUUAUACCAUCUGCUAGGAACAAAAUGUUUUACCAUGUCACAGUGGCCCACAAAGAAUACUGUUACUUUGGACAACUGAAACAAUUCAAUAUCUGGGUUGAGUUGAGUGGCAGCAUCACUUUUGUUGGGGCAGUGAGCUUCCAUUCCUCACUACAGAUAUUCCACUGCUGGCUUGAGCUGGGUCCUGAACACUGUCCUUUCCUGGUCUUGCUGGCGAAGGCAUCCUGUGCCAGCAGGCAGCUUCAUUGCCUUCCUCUCCUCUCCGAGCCCCUACGUAGCCAUCCUGCUUAUCAGGUGCACACAGUUCUGGUCAGGUAGCCUCAGGGAGCCCAUCUGAUUGGCUCUGUGGGUCCCCACACCUCCAAGAACUCCAUGCCUUUCAUAUGAUGCUUAACCAUUUGUUUAUCCUCAUUCUUACCUGGGCAGCAGGUAGCUAUCAGACCCUCUCUCACCUUUCCUUUACUCUUCUUCCACCUCUACUUGAUCUCCUGUAGCAGCCUUGCCCAUGAAGUCAUGCCUGUGGCUCCACUGAGAAAUUCGAUUAAGUAUUCCAAUACUGCUGUGAAACGAAGUGAUCUGAUUCCGGUGAGACAAUUUAUCUUGCAAGAUGAAGAAGUUACCUCAGAGAAGUCAAAUAAUUUACCCAGAGUCACAAAAUAAGCAAAUGAUGGAAUAUUCAAAUCCAGGUCUUCUGACUCUACCUCUAUCUGCCUUAGAGGUUUCUGAAGUAUUGAUAAGAUGGAGGCUGGAAGAGCUUGAAACAGACCAUAUAAAGCCAGGUCUGAGCUGGAAAAGCAAAGAGGCCCAAGGAACAGCACAGACCCUGACUGGUGGGGUAUCUGUGUAUUUUAAAUAACAAAUACAACAAAGAUUCAAGGUUCAGCAUGUACCCAGAUGUUUCCAUUAUUGAUAUAUAUAUGCCAGUUUAAAAUAUUUAAAUGGAAAACAGUUUGUGUCCACUUCAUUUUAGAACUAUGCCAGUUACAGGAAUCACCCCAGUAUCAGUUAUGUCUUACUCAUGUCAAAGAACCAGGGUCAGAAGAAAAAAAUCUCCAGUAAAGAUCCUUGCAACUCAGGAACACUCUUUCCUCUGAAUACUGCUAUGAACUAGAGUUAAAAGAAAGCAUUUUUUAAAAGAAAUGAUUUAUUCGUUCCUCAUGAUAAACAUAUCAAAACAUCACAUUGUACCACAUAAAUAUAUGCAAUUAUUUGGUUAACUGAAAAUAAAA
rnacentral:lncRNA from 10 species